rnacentral:rRNA from 1 species
UACAGAGGUCCCAAGCGUUGUUCGGAUUCACUGGGCGUAAAGGGUGCGUAGGUGGCUUGGUAAGUCUGAUGUGAAAUCUCGGAGCCUAACUCCGAAACUGCAUCGGAUACUAUUAAGCUAGAGGUCUGGAGGGGAGACUGGAAUUCUCGGUGUAGCAGUGAAAUGCGUAGAUAUCGAGAGGAACGCCAAUGGCGAAGGCUAGUCUCUGGACAGAUCCUGACACUGAGGCACGAAAGCUAGGGGAGCAAACAGG